rnacentral:ncRNA from 20 species
UUUUUUAUAUAUCGAAAUGGUCAUGUUAUGCGCAAAAGCAUAACUGGGAAGGGGGUGACAAUCCCCCGCAGCCCCCGCUGCUGUGAUGCUGACGAACCCGCUGUUACCACUGAUCCAUCGGAUUGGGAAGGUUGCGGGUGAGAGUGACGCUAAGCCAGAAGACCAGCCAGAUCGGUAAAAGAUAUU